rnacentral:rRNA from 2 species
UGAUGCGAUCAUACUAGCACUAAAGCACCGAAACCCAUCAAAACUCCGGAGUUAAGCGUGCUUGGGCGAGCGUAGUACUAGGAUGGGUGACCUCCUGGGAAGUCCUCGUGUUGCAUUCC